AGAUGUCUAGUAAUUUUUCAGCAGUGCUUUGCAGAUUGAUGUUGAGUCAAGAAAGACCUAGAGCCUGACUCUCCUCAAACUCUAUGAGAUAUCUCUUAGUCCUGUUAGAAAUCUGCAAGGCAUCAGACAUUUGGAUCCCCAAGCAGAUAUGCCAACAUCCUCUUCCCCUUCCUUCCACAAAAGCACUCUGACCGGAAAAGCAGAUCCAGGAGCAACAGGAAAGGGAGCAGAAGCCGGAGGAAGAGACACUCUCUAAGCAUUGAACCAAAAGCUAUCCAGAUAGAACACUGUGAAGGAUAAGCAGAAAGAGUCCGUCGUUCAAUGACUUCAUUUGAAUCAGAACUAACAACCACCACAACAAAGUAGGGGGACAGUCAUUUCUAAGCCUUGA
rnacentral:lncRNA from 1 species